GAUGAACGCUGGCGGCGUGCUUAAUACAUGCAAGUCGAGCGAACGGACGAGAAGCUUGCUUCUCUGAUGUUAGCGGCGGACGGGUGAGUAACACGUGGAUAACCUACCUAUAAGACUGGGAUAACUUCGGGAAACCGUAGCUAAUACCGGAUAAGAUUUUGAACCGCAUGGUUCAAAAGUGAAAGACGGUCUUGCGGUCACUUAUAGAUGCAUCCCCGCUGCAUUAUCUAGUUGGUAAGGUAACGGCUUAUCAAGGCAACGAUGCAUAGCCGACCUGAGAGGGUGAUCGGCCACACUGGAACUGAGACACGGUCCAGACUACUACGGGAGGCAGCAGUAGGGAAUCUUCCGCAAUGGGCGAAAGCCUGACGGAGCAACGCCGCGUGAGUGAUGAAGGUCUUCGGAUCGUAAAACUCUGUUAUUAGGGAAGAACAUAUGUGUAAGUAACUGUGCACAUCUUGACGGUACCUAAUCAGAAAGCCACGGCUAACUACGUG
rnacentral:rRNA from 1 species